GUGAAGAUGAAACAAGAGCCAGAAGAAGCUGGAAGAAGAAGAAAAUCAGGAAUCAGCCAGCAGUGAGAGGAAGAAAUGCUGACGCAUGAAGGUAAAGCUCGCGUGAAGAAGGAAGACGAGACGGUGAGAGGGACACAUGGAGCCAUUUCAGUCUCUGCAAGUGACGCCGAAAUGACAUUCUGCCUCAUUAGGACCAGGUUCUGGUCUCCAUGACGACAACUGGUCCCGACAAGGUCAGCGUUUAUGCUGAACAGG